ACGUUGACGCACCGGUUCCCGUUUAAACACCGAAGUUAAGCAACAUCGAGCUUGGUCUGUAUCUGGAUGGGUAACAACUUUGGGAAAGCAUUUGCUGUA